UCAGCCUCCAGGUAAGUGCAGGCAUAUGUGGUGCUGUGGCUCAUAGCAUCACGGUGCCAGUCAGCACCUGAUCAACAGCUGGGAGACCAAAACCUCUGUCCUACCACAGCUCUGGGCAGGACAGCUCUUCUCACCACAUGGCCCAGCAGCUGGCAGCCCAGAAACCACAUCUGGCCAUCUCGAGCCAGCUGGGGUUCUCACUGCCAGCCCUCCUCCUGGUUGAUAUCUGUUGGGCCACCCAGGGCUGCAGGACAUGCUGGUGACCACAGGCUGCUCCAGUGCCAGUGUAAUGUCCUGUGACCUCAGGCUGGUAAUGGCUGCUCCCCUGAAGCAGCAGUGAGCUGAGGAGAUGUUGUGUGGUGGGAAGACGGGAAACUGUGGGACAAACAGCCACAAGGAGAAUAUAGUAUUUCAGGUAAGAGAUUUGUUGCAAGUAUGACUUGAACCCUGGACUGACUGGAAAUUUGUGGGAGACAGAAGCACACAAGGUAAUGAGGUGAGUCCAAGGCCUAUGAAAAAAAAAAAAGGAAAAAGAAAACUCUGUGCAAUGGGGGCAUUUUAGAAAAAAAAAAAAAAAAGAUAAUGCAAAAAUUUGACAGUAAGAAGUAAAUUUUCUGUCAGGAGCAAUGCCAGGGUAGUGCAAAAAGCUGGGACCUCGCCGCCAUGAGGAGCAGAGGAGUUUGGGCCACUCAGUGGGUCCCUUGUAGUGAAUUGACAGCUCUGCCUAUAGCCUUGUCCCCAGCUAAACCCCGGGGGAGAAGGGACUGCAGAAGGAGCAGAGACCGAUGCCUCCAUCCCAGGCUGGCUGCAGGCUCCAAGCUGCAGAAUUACUUGAACUGUCACAGGGGGAUGAACUGUGGCCAGGCACACCGUGGAGCAGCUGCUCCUGCGAUGUGGCAGAGGUGUUCCGCUAGCUCUGCUUACUGAUCAGGACUGAAGUGUUUGCAUUUGGAUAAAUCUGUUGCAUGGGAUUUACUGAAAGCUUACAAAGAACAGAUCAACCUUUCAUCAUCCCUGUGCAAACUUGAAGAGCUGUGGGCAGGGGUGAGGACCUGUGUGGGGGUAGAAAAUACUUGCACCUGCCAGACCUUGGUUGUUCUAAAGAAACCUAGAACACCUGAGGGUUUAGGGGUGGAGUGGGAGCUGGUUCCUUCAGGUGGUUUUUUUUGCUUCUUUUUUUCAUAUUUGGUGGGUUGAGGUAAGAGACUAGAUCAGCUCUCUUAGAGUCUGCAGGAUGUUGCUUGGACUGUGGCAACCCAUCUAAAAAAAUGAGUAGCAAGCCUUUGGUUUUUUAUCACUCCUCCAGAGAAAUGAGCAAGCUCUCCUGUUGACAGCUGGCAUCUGGAUGUAAAACCAAGUGGUCCUUGCUGACUGUCAGUGAUCAUACUACUGAUGUUCAGGAAUUCCCCCUGCCCAUGUGUCAGCUUAACGAGUACACAUUUCUGGUUGUCUAUACAGUUCCCAGACAUGUUUAAAUCAUACGGUUGUACGGGGUGUAACUCUUCCAAUUCUGCUUCCAAGCUGGCCUGCGGUUUGUUGCUGAGUAAAUGAAGUCAUGGGACAGAGUUGUCUGAAUUUAGAGAAGGUGAGUUCUGCUGCAGUGACCCACCGCAGAGGAGGGACUCAAUAAACACAGGAGUAGGGGCCUGAUGCUUUCUCCCCAGUAAUUGCUGCCACCCUGUUAAUUCCAUGCAGUUGCUAUAGGUGAUAUCAGGUGCAAGCUCAACAUAAGAUCUUCCUCCUAUCUCUGGGUAUCCGAUAGCCAACACUGCGAAGAAGAAACAGAAUGCUGGCUAUGAAUUAAAGCAUUGGCUCUGGGUCUUAUCCAAUACUGUGAACCUUCCAAAUAUAUCCUUUCCUCAGAAGAUAUUUUUGGAUUACUUUUUUUUUUAAAUUGAUGACAUCUUUUGCUUGCCGUUCACCUCCUUCUACUGUUUCUUAGCACCAUUUGAUUAGAUUGUGCUGAUUUAGUGUCUCUCUUUAAAACCAAGUUAAUAUUAAAAGUAAGCUUUGAUGCUUCUAUGAGAGUAUAUUUUCCCUUUUCAGUAGGUUUUUGCAGAUGAAUGUAGGUCUUUUUGUUGUUUUUUGUUGUUGUGUUUUUGGUUUUUUUUUACAUGAUCUUUGUCAAAACUGUUGGUGGUAAGUUAUACACAGCUCAGUUUAAAAGAUUUUUUUCAAAUGAGAUGUAGUGAAAUAAUUUUUCAGACUCAUCUUUAUUUAUGUUUCUUGCUUUCAUGCAAUUCUGUUCCAAAAGAGCAAAUUUGACUCCUGUGCUUUGCUCCUUUAUUUGCCAUCAUUGUUAUUUCCCUUUUUUAUUCUUUUUCACUUACCAGUUAGAAGCAAAUAACUUGUAUACUUGGUUAUACUAAUAAACCAGGGUCUAAAGCCUGUCUGACUUUUAGUAGUUCUAGAAGCAGAAUUAGAUCCUGGUUUCAUUCUGGAUGAAUAACAAGUUUUUGCCAGACACUAAUAUCUGAUACUGAGUUACAAUGGCUGAAAUACUAAACAUAAGGAAAAAAAAAAUCAGUAAUGGAACUCAUGUGAAGGGCUUGGUUCAUUAAACUGCUACAUUAGGUUAAUGUCAUAAAAAGCAGAUCGGAGUUAUGAGAUGUUGGUUUUCUUGCUCUUCCCAAAAACCUUCCUCGGGGGAGUUCUCUUACCUCAAACACCUGAAAAAACAGGUUGGCAAAUACAGAUUUUUCUGACUGUAGUGGAAACACCAGGGUGAUACAAGGUCCAGAUGAGCUGGAGCUGGGUGGGAAUAUGUGUAACACCCAAGCUGGGGAUGCAGCAAAUACAGGGACGUUGUCUCCUUUCAGAGACUUCGGCUGACCAAAAGCUGAGCAGGAGCUGGUCUGUUGCCACAUCAGACAUGAGGGUUUCUUCUCCCCUCUCAGAUUUCCCCUCGAGGCUUCUGGCAAAAAUGAAACUGGGAGGAAACAUCCUAGAACUCCUAUAGUGGCAUGUAUAGAAUAUAUAACAAAUACAGCUGUAAUUCAAGUUUUCUGGAGAAUAAAGUGUGCAUGUGGUAGGAACACACAGGUGCUGUGUUAUAUGGCAACUAAUAGUGUCCUGAAAAGCUGAAAGUCUUUUCUGCAAUUAAGGAUCUAACUUUGACCAGAUGUUGAUAGUAAUUGAGUUGCAAUACCAUGAUGGGUAUUGCACACUGGGAAACAACUUAGCUUUUAAAAUGUCAUAACUUUAAACCUUGAUUUAGUGUAUUGCAUAAAAGUGAGCUCGCGUUGUAUUUGAUACACGCUCUUUCUGUUAGUACUCUGUGAAUAAAAGCUUUUGCGGUGCCUAUAGCAUCAGUAUUUCAGCCUUGGGUGCUUCCCCAGAGCUAACUUUUUCUACUAGCGUUGCAGUUCAGAACAGUUCACCUUGGGAGGCACCUGGAGAUCACCCAAUGCAGGGUUGCCUUAAAAGUUCUUUAAGGUCUUCUCUAGUUGAGCCUAUGCUGGCAUGUAGCAAUCUAACUCUUGCCAAUCAUUACUCAAAGGUUUAAGUUAAAAUGUUUACUUAGGAAGCAAAUAUUGAAGAUUUUGCAUAAAAACUGCAUGCACAAAUACCUAUGCUUUCAUGCUUGUGUAUAUGUAAUAUAUUACACUCAAGUGCAGGAAAGUGCCUCAUGGAGCAGGGAACUAUUAUCAUGACCACACUUGUGGAAAUAUUUGCAUUUAGCUUACUUUACAUAAACACUCUGGCCUUAAGCCUACAGUGCAGGGUGAGAUGGAUAGUGCAGCAGUCCUGUUCUCAGGACAAAUGCUUUAAGAGGCUUUCAGUGUUUCCAUUUCAAUUCUCUCAAGCAGGGGGUCCUAGCUUGG